rnacentral:rRNA from 1 species
AGAAAAGAAACCAACAGGGAUUGCCUUAGUAGCGGCGAGUGAAGCGGCAAAAGCUCAAAUUUGAAAUCUGGCGCCUUCGGUGUCCGAGUUGUAAUUUGAAGAUUGUAACCUUGGGGUUGGCUCUUGUCUAUGUUUCUUGGAACAGGACGUCACAGAGGGUGAGAAUCCCGUGCGAUGAGAUGCCCAAUCCUAUGUAAGGUGCUUUCGAAGAGUCGAGUUGUUUGGGAAUGCAGCUCUAAGUGGGUGGUAAAUUCCAUCUAAAGCUAAAUAUUGGCGAGAGACCGAUAGCGAACAAGUACAGUGAUGGAAAGAUGAAAAGAACUUUGAAAAGAGAGUGAAAAAGUACGUGAAAUUGUUGAAAGGGAAGGGUUUGAGAUCAGACUCGAUAUUUUGUGAGCCUUGCCUUCGUGGCGGGGUGACCCGCAGCUUAUCGGGCCAGCAUCGGUUUGGGCGGUAGGAUAAUGGCGUAGGAAUGUGACUUUACUUCGGUGAAGUGUUAUAGCCUGCGUUGAUGCUGCCUGCCUAGACCGAGGACUGCGAUUUUAUCAAGGAUGCUGGCAUAAUGAUCCCAAACCGCCCGUC